CGAGAACUGAAAUAGUUAAUCUGCUCCUGGCACCUGUUGAAUGCAGAAGGAAGUCCCAACAGGCUCAAAUAUCCCAUAUUAGGACUUUCCGCUCUCUCUCAGAUAAUUCAAACACCUCUCACCUCCCUGUUGACGUCACCUUGAGACCUGGAAGAUGAUUCACUUGGAGAACUUGGAGAACGGCCUCCUCCAUUCUCUCUGUUUACUGUGUCGAGUUUGCUAUGGAUAUCGAAACUCCGCCAUAC